rnacentral:rRNA from 1 species
GUGUAAGUACUAGCCAACUAUAAAAUGGUGAAACCGCGAAAAGCUCAUUAAAUCGGCUUUGGUUCCUUAGACUGUUUGCAGAUGAUAGUUUCUUCCGCGAGGGAGAAGUGAAAGUCUGAUUUGGAUAACUGUGGUAAUUCUAGAGCUAAUACAUGAAAAAUGAAUAGGUGUGAAGUUCGGCGUGCAUUCGCGUGCGCGCCAGACACUUUGCACGCUUUUAUUAGAGAAAAAAGCCAAUUGCAGUUUUUCCGCGUUCCGACUCGUGCGUGUGACGGGACGCGUUCUUCGGAACGAUGUCUCUGUCGCCGAGAGUGGUGAAUGGCGAAAAAUGAACCAAAAAAGGUGUUGAAUCUGAAUAACUUGAAUGGAUUUUCCUUGAAAGGGUUUUGUAGUGUGCCGUGCGCUCCUUCGGGCGCGGUCGGUGCGCGUGUGAAAUCCGACUAGAGGAAGAUUUAAAGCAAACUGCAUGACAAAGUCGGCCGUGUGCGCGCUUGCGCGUUGCGGCCCGGCGAAUUGCAGUGUGUCUUUCAAUUGUCCGCCUUAUCAACUGUCGAUGGUAGGUUACAUGCCUACCAUGGUUAUAACGGGUAACGGGGAAUCAGGGUUCGAUUCCGGAGAGGGAGCCUGAGAAACAGCUACCACAUCUAAGGAAGGCAGCAGGCACGCAAAUUACCCACUCCCGGCACGGGGAGGUAGUGACGAUAAAUAACGAUCCGAAACUCUAUUGGGUUUUCGAAAUUGGAAUGAGUACAAUUUAAAUCCUUUAACGAGGAACUAAUGGAGGGCAAGUCUGGUGCCAGCAGCCGCGGUAAUUCCAGCUCCAUUAGCAUAUAUUAAAGUUGUUGCGUUUAAAAAGCUCGUAGUCGAAUCUGUGUCGUGCACUGUUGCCCGCUCGCGAUUUUAUUCGUGCAGUCUGGGCGACAUUUUAAAGGGUGCGCGAUAUACGCGUCGGUGGAUUGCUCGCACGGGUGCGCGCGGCCGCGAGAGCGGCUCGCGCAUUCGCUGCGGAAAUUCGAUACGAACGGUCUCGUAAACAAAUUGAAGUCCGCACGGCGCCAAAGGGAGUCGAAUUCGUGCAGCAUCGGCGGCUUGCCGUUGUGCUGCCUCGGCUCUCUGUCGGGCGCGACCUCAAGCGGGCACCGUUGCCGUAUUCUGAUCGACGACGGCGCGGCAGUGUGUGCGAACGCGCGCACGCCCGCCUCGCUCGAAUUAGGCCGACUUAAUUACUUUGAAUAAAUUAAAGUGCUUAAAGCAGGCGAUUUGAAAAUGCCUUGAAUAGAACAGCAUGGAAUAAUAGAAUAUGAUCUCGAUAUUGUUUUCGAUUGGCUUAAAGGGGCUGCGCUGCCGGGCUCGCCGGAUCGUUCCUCUUGGGUUCGAUGGCGGACGCGGCGGCCGGCUCCGACAAUUGU